CUAAUGGAGAGUUUGAUCCUGGCUCAGAGUGAACGCUGGCGGCGUGGCUAAGACAUGCAAGUCGAGCGGGAUUUAUUAACAUGAGUCGCAAGAUGAAUGAAGAUGAUGAGAGCGGCAAACGGGUGCGUAACACGUGAACAAUCUGCCCUUUAGUUGGGGAUAGCUCGCCGAAAGGUGAAUUAAUACCGAAUGUGAUUUCCCUCCGCAUGGAGGGGAUAUUAAAGCUUGCAAUGGCGCUAAAGGAGGAGUUCGCGGCCUAUCAGCUUGUUGGCGGGGUAACAGCCCACCAAGGCUAAGACGGGUAGCUGGUCUGAGAGGAUGAUCAGUCACAGUGGAACUGAGACACGGUCCACACACCUACGGGUGGCAGCAGUUUCGAAUCAUUCACAAUGGGCGAAAGCCUGAUGGUGCGACGCCGCGUGGGGGACGAAGGUUUUCGAAUUGUA
rnacentral:rRNA from 1 species